CUACUUCUUCCUCCGUCCAAAAAUACUUGUCAUCAAAAUGGACAAAAAAAGAUGCAUCUAGAACUGAAAUACUUUUAGAUACAUCCUCUUUUAUUCAUUUUGAUGACAAGUAUUUCCGGACGGAGGGAGUACUAA
rfam:Triticum aestivum genome assembly, contig: Triticum_aestivum_CS42_TGACv1_scaffold_320348_4BL